rnacentral:pre_miRNA from 1 species
AAUAAGAUCAUUUUUCAUUUUUUUGAUACAAUUGUUUGACUCUUCGUCUUAUUUUAAUUUUUUUGUGAUUAAUAUUUUUAUUCUUACUAGAUGAUAAAACAUGAAUAGUACUUUAUGCGUAACUAUUUUUUUUAAUUUUUUGUAUAAAUUUUUCAAAUAAGACGAAUAAUCAAACGUUGGACAUGGAAAAAC